rnacentral:rRNA from 1 species
GGCGUGGGGACAGUGUCUGGUGGGUAGUUUGACUGGGGCGGUCUCCUCCCAAAGUGUAACGGAGGAGCACGAAGGUCAGCUAAUCCUGGUCGGACAUCAGGAGGUUAGUGCAAUGGCAUAAGCUGGCUUGACUGCGAGAGUGACGGCUCGAGCAGGUGCGAAAGCAGGUCAUAGUGAUCCGGUGGUUCUGUAUGGAAGGGCCAUCGCUCAACGGAUAAAAGGUACUCCGGGGAUAACAGGCUGAUACCGCCCAAGAGUUCAUAUCGACGGCGGUGUUUGGCACCUCGAUGUCGGCUCAUCACAUCCUGGGGCUGAAGUAGGUCCCAAGGGUAUGGCUGUUCGCCAUUUAAAGUGGUACGCGAGCUGGGUUUAGAACGUCGUGAGACAGUUCGGUCCCUAUCUGCCGUGGGCGCUGGAGAAUUGAGGGGGGCUGCUCCCAGUACGAGAGGACCGGAGUGGACGCAUCACUGGUGUUCGGGUUGUCAUGCCAAUGGCACUGCCCGGUAGCUAAAUGCGGAAGAGAUAAGUGCUGAAAGCAUCUAAGCACGAAACUUGCCCCGAGAUGAGUUCUCCCUGA